rnacentral:rRNA from 1 species
AAUGCAAGUCGAACGGGCUGUUUAUGCAGCCAGUGGCGGACGGGUGAGUAACACGUAUGUGACCUACCCCAAAGUCUGGGACAACUAGGAGAAAUCUUAGCUAAUCCUGGAUGUGGACAUCUACUUUGGUGGAUGUUUAAAGCUUCGGCGCUUUGGGAUGGGCCUGCGGCGCAUCAGGUAGUUGGUGGGGUAAUGGCCUACCAAGCCGACGACGCGUAGCUGGUCUGAGAGGACGAUCAGCCACAGGGGUACUGAGACACGGACCCAACUCCUACGGGAGGCAGCAGUUAGGAAUCUUCCGCAAUGGGCGAAAGCCUGACGGAGCGAUACCGCUUGAAGGACGAAGCCCUUCGGGGUGUAAACUUCUGAACUCGGGACGAUAAUGACGGUACCGAGGUAAUAGCACCGGCUAACUCCGUGCCAGCAGCCGCGGUAAUACGGAGGGUGCGAGCGUUACCCGGAUUUACUGGGUGUAAAGGGCGUGUAGGCGGUCUCUCAAGUCCGAUGCUAAAGACCGAAGCUCAACUUCGGGGGUGCGUUGGAUACUGUGAGGCUAGACGGUCGGAGAGGGUAGCGGAAUUUCCGGAGUAGCGGUGAAAUGCGCAGAUACCGGAAGGAACGCCAAUAGCGAAAGCAGCUACCUGGACGAUUUGUGACGCUGAGGCGCGAAAGCGUGGGGAGCAAACCGGAUUAGAUACCCGGGUAGUCCACGCCCUAAACGAUGAGUGCUGGGUGUCCGACAUCUGUUGGGUGCCGUAGCUAACGCGUUAAGCACUCCACCUGGGAAGUACGGUCGCAAGACUGAAACUCAAAGGAAUUGACGGGGGCCCGCACAAGCGGUGGAGCAUGUGGUUUAAUUCGAAGCAACGCGCAGAACCUUACCAGGUCUUGACAUCCACGGAACCCUGGUGAAAGCCGGGGGUGCCCGCAAGGGACCCGUGAGACAGGUGCUGCAUGGUCGUCGUCAGCUCGUGUCGUGGAAAUG